rnacentral:sRNA from 1 species
GAUCAUGCGGAACCCUUGAGUUUCUUCGCAAUUCCAGCAAAGUACUUCCCUUGGUGGAAGGCUUGUUGCAGCUCAAGCUCAGUGGCAACCCUUGAUCCAUCACCAGCGAAUGUGCCAGACCCGUACGGGCUUCCGCCCUUCACUUGCUCCAUCUCAAACAUCCCAGCACCAAAGGUGUACCCUACUGGAACAAAGAUCAUGCCAUGAUGCACUAGCUGAGUAAUUGCUCGUCUUACGGAGUAGUUUCUUGGCCACCACCCUGGGAACCAGUAGAGUAGAAAAUUCCCGCGGGCUUGCCUGCGAGCUGCUGUGUCCUCCACAGCCCACCGGUAGCAUCCAUGAAUGCUUUGAAUUGAGCAGCCAUCAUUCCAAAUCUAGUUGGGAACCCAAAGAUGACACCAUCAGCCUCGGCAAGCUCUGCGGGUGUGAUUAUGGGAACAUCUUUCUUUGAAGGAGCACCCAUCUUGGUGAGCACAUCAUCAGAAAGAGUCUCUGGGACCUACUUGACCUCAACUCCUUCAACUGAAGAAGCACCUUUCUCGAUCUCCUCUGCUAGCUUUGCAACAUGGCCAUACAUGGAGUAGUAC